UACAGAGGUCCCAAGCGUUGUUCGGAUUCACUGGGCGUAAAGGGUGCGUAGGUGGCUAGGUAAGUUUGAUGUGAAAUCUCCGGGCUUAACCCGGAAAGUGCAUUGAAUACUAUCUAGCUUGAGGGUUGGAGGGGGGACUGGAAUUCUCGGUGUAGCAGUGGAAAUGCGUAGAUAUCGAGAGGAACACCAGUGGCGAAGGCGAGUCCCUGGACAACUCCUGACACUGAGGCACGAAAGCUAGGGGAGCAAACAGG
rnacentral:rRNA from 1 species